CGCAACACUACGAGUAUGUCUCUUGUUUCAAUGCCUGGUUCUACUUCUGGUGGUUAGCUACAAUUAUAUCAUUGGGGAAACCAAAAAAUUAAAACAAUGUGAAGAAAAAAAUUGGGUGUGUGUGGAGAAAAUUGAAAGAUGUCCAUUUAGACCGGGGUUCGCUAUGCUUUCAACGCAAUGUCCCAUCAAUCAAUAUUGUUGUAAGCUUGGAGUAAACAAACGCACAACUGUACGAAUGUAGCGCUGCCUUCCUCCAUCAGCUGAGCAAACGAGUUAGAGCAUCAUAUGUUCAAUUAAAGCAACUGGAUAUUAAUUUA